AUGUAAGAUUUUAAUGGUCGAACAGACCAAAUAUAAAUAUUUUUUUCAAUAAUUAUUAAUCUUAAUUCAACAUCGAGGUCGCAAUCUUUUUUAUCAAUUCGUGCUAUCUAAAAAAAAUUACGCUGUUAUCCCUAAGGUAAUUUAUUUUAAUUUUUAAAUUAAAAAUAAAAUAUUCAUAAAUUUAUGAAUUAUAGUAUUAAAAAAUUUAUUAAAUUUUUAUAUUUCCCCAAUAAAAUAUAAAAAUUUAUAAUUUUAUUUAAAUAAUUAAAUUAUAUAUUUUUAUAUAAAAUUCUAUAGGGUCUUAUCGUCUUUUAAUUGAAUUUUUGAAUUUUUACAAAAAAAAUAAAUUAAAUUUUUAUUAUUAUGAGACAGUUAUUAUUUCAUUAAAUCAUUCAUACUAGAUUUUUAUUAAAAAACAAUUGAUUAUGCUACCUUAGCACAGUUAGUAUACUGCGGCAAUUUAAUUUAUAAUCAUUGAGCAGAUUUAACUUUUUAUUAAUUUCAAAAAGAC
rnacentral:rRNA from 1 species